AGGGUGUAAACGCUGCAGACUUGGUGUUGGAAGUCCUUUGGGGGCAUUCAGUGCCGGAGAGAAGUUGUUAAGUCUGCUACUUGGGGAGUACGUCCGCAAGGAUGAAACUUAAAGGAAUUGGCGGGGGAGGCACCGCAACGGGAGGAGCGUGCGGUUUAAUUGGACUCAACGCCGGGAAGCUCACCGGAUAGGACAGCAGAAAUGAUUGCCGGGCUGAAGACCCUGCAUGACUAGCUGAGAGGUGGUGCAUGGCGUAGACGUCU
rnacentral:rRNA from 1 species